UUUGAGUUUAUGUUUAGUUUUUGCUUCCCUUGCUGGUGAAGGAAUUGCCUCAUGUUCUGAGAGGAUUAUCAUUAAAAUUAUUGACAAUUCCUCCAAAUAUGUGUUCUCAAGGGAGAUGCUGAAAUAUUUAAGAUGGUGCAUUUCAUGGCGGGGGAACCAUGCUAAAUACAAAAUUGUGUAUACUUCAUAGUUUUUUUUAUUAAGCCAAUGAUUGGCAUGAUCUUCAGACAGAGCAUGUUUAGCUGUUAGUGAGAAUACUUGUUGAGAAUCUUGCACAGCUGAUAUUUUGGGGUUUGUUUUUUUAAGGGAGAAGAAGACUGUAGGCAAGAUUGAAUCCUAGAUAUUUUUAAACUGAACAUAGUGUUAAACUCAUUUGAUUGAAAGUGAAAAAGUGAUGGAAAUCAUAUCAGAACAGUAAUUAGUCACAAAAUAGAGGAAAUGGGAGGUGGUCACUUAUGAACAAUGGGAGGUGGUCACUUAUGAACAAUCUAAUCAGAAAAGUGAUGGGGACAUUGUUGAAUACAAGGUCUGUAAGUUUACAGAUAGAGGAAAAUGGGAGGUGGUCACUUAUGAACAAUCUAGUCAGAUGCAGUUCCGUUGCACUUGUGCUUUGUUUGAAACUAAUGGUGUUGUAUGUAGACAUAUGUUAUCGCAAAUGAUGGCUAGGCAAAUGGAUUCAUUACCUGACCAUUAUAUCCUACACCGUUGGACUAUACAUGCUCGACAUCGUAACAUUGGGGUUGGCAACAUUAUAUAUGGAAGAAACAUCACAAGCUGUGAAGAGAAGAUUAACUUAUUGAAAACUUGGGCUUUAAGAGCAAAAUUCAACAAUGCGCUCGAGCUUGCCUUUGCUUCAGAAGAGAAGAUGCAAAAUCUAGAUGAUGUGCUGACAAAAUUUAUAGAACCACUGCAAGAAGAUGUUGGAGCACAUUCCUCAAAUCAAGAUCAAAUGGUGGAUACUCCUCAAAUUUCUGCACACAUCUCACAUACAAUUGAGCACAUUCCUCAGAUUACAGUUCGUGAUCCUGAUAGAGCUGCAAGGACUAAAGGUCGUCCACGUAAUGCAACUAGAAUCCAGUCAGGUUUAGAACAAGCACAAGAAAAGAAAGAAAGGAAGAAACGUAUAUGUAGCAGAUGUGGUGAACUCGGGCAUUAGAAUUAGCUGUAAAGUCAACUUGCCAAGCUAAACGAAAAUUGGUCUGGAUUCUUGAGCACCAAAUGCAUGGAUUUGUGGAAGAUGAAGUUCUCAACAGAAACUGGAAAUGGAAGCUACUUGUUUUGAGUUUAUUUUGUAAUGAAGCUAGUUGGAAAUGUAGACUGCAAAUGUAGUAUUGUUUUGAGUUUAUUUUGUAAUGGAAGCUACUUGGAAAUGUUGACUGGGAAUGGGUUUUGAGUUGUCAGGUGUGCCUCAACAGAAACGGGUUGUCUAUUUUGUUGUCUAUUUUGUUGA